rnacentral:rRNA from 1 species
AUUGAACGCUGGCGGCAUGCUUUACACAUGCAAGUCGAACGGCAGCGCGGGCUUCGGCCUGGCGGCGAGUGGCGAACGGGUGAGUAAUACAUCGGAACGUGCCCAGUAGUGGGGGAUAGCUCGGCGAAAGCCGGAUUAAUACCGCAUACGACCUGAGGGUGAAAGCGGGGGAUCUUCGGACCUCGCGCUAUUGGAGCGGCCGAUGGCAGAUUAGCUAGUUGGUGGGGUAAAGGCCUACCAAGGCGACGAUCUGUAGCUGGUCUGAGAGGACGACCAGCCACACUGGGACUGAGACACGGCCCAGACUCCUACGGGAGGCAGCAGUGGGGCAUUUUGGACAAAGGGCGAAAGCCUGAUCCAGCAAUGCCGCGUGUGUGAUGAAGGCCUUCGGGUCGUAAAGCACUUUUGGCGGGAACGAAAAGGACUGUGCCAAUACCACGGUUCGAUGACGGUACCCGCAGAAUAAGCACCGGCUAACUACGUG